rnacentral:rRNA from 1 species
CCUACGGGGGGCAGCAGUGAGGAAUUUUGCGCAAUGGGGGAAACCCUGACGCAGCGACGCCGCGUGCGGGAUGAAGGGGCUUUGCCUCGUAAACCGCUGUCGGAUAGGAAGAAAAACGGUAAGAACCGUCGGGACAGUACUAUCAAAGGAAGCACCGGCUAACUACGUGCCAGCAGCCGCGGUAAUACGUAGGGUGCGAGCGUUGUCCGGAAUUACUGGGUGUAAAGGGUGCGCGGGCGGAUUCGCACGUCGAAGGUUAAAGACCUUGGCUUAAC